rnacentral:tRNA from 1 species
AGGGGCGUGGUGAAGUGGUAUCACGUUUCUCUCCAAAAGAAAAGUUGUGGGUUCGAUUCCUACCGCCCCUG